UACGGAGGGUGCGAGCGUUAAUCGGAAUGACUGGGCGUAAAGGGCAUGUAGGCGGAUAAUUAAGUUAGAUGUGAAAUCCCUGGGCUUAACCUAGGAGCAGCAUUUAAGACUGGUUAUCUAGAGUAUUGUAGAGGAAGGUAGAAUUCCAUGUGUAGCGGUGAAAUGCGUAGAGAUGUGGAGGAAUACCGGUGGCGAAGGCGGCCUUCUGGACAGAUACUGACGCUGAGAUGCGAAAGCGUGGGGAGCAAAC
rnacentral:rRNA from 1 species